GCUGACAUAUGCUGCAAAUUAGUUGAAGAAAGAGGACUUGACCAUACAGGAAUUUACAGAGUUCCUGGAAAUAAUGCUGCUAUCUCAAGAAUGCAAGAGGAAUUCAACAAAGGAAUGGCUGAUAUUGAUAUACAGGAUGAUAAAUGGCGAGACUUGAAUGUCAGUAGUCUGCUGAAAUCAUUCUUCAGAAAACUCCCUGAGCCUCUCUUCACAAAUGAUGGUACCAAGAAAUCUAGCCAUUGUUUUUGGUCCAACCCUUGUGCGAUCUUUAGAAGAUAAUAUGACACAUAUGGUGACUCACAUGCCUGACCAGUACAAAAUUGUAGAAACC